ACCGUUAUAGCGCAGUGGAUUAGCACGUCUGAUUUCGGAUCAGAAGGUUGUGGGUUGACUCCCACUAUGGUC
rnacentral:tRNA from 1 species